UACGUAGGGGGCGAGCGUUGUCCGGAAUUAUUGGGCGUAAAGAGCUCGUAGGCGGUUCGGCAAGUCACGUGUGAAAUCUCCACGCUCAACGUGGAGGCGCCACGUGAGACUGCUGUGACUCGAGUCCGGUAGGGGAGCGUGGAAUUCCCGGUGUAGCGGUGAAAUGCGUAGAUAUCGGGAGGAACAUCAGUGGCGAAGGCGGCUAUCUGGACUAACACUGACACUGAGACUCGAAAGCGUGGGGAGCAAACAGG
rnacentral:rRNA from 1 species